AAAUGGGUGACACUUCUGACAACUGAAGAACAUAAAAGACGCCUAGUAAUGCAGUAUUUCCCCUUCCGUUACAUUACGGGGGGCGCCCCGCACACACAGGACAGAGAGCGCGCGAUGCGCCCCACUCCCCAAAGCUGUGAGCCUUGCAGGCCAGGAGCCACACAAUGGCUACUGGUGACUGCUAUGCUAGUAGCCUUUUCAGGUGGAUGGCACAGUGGUUGAAAUCACUGAUUGUGAUACGGCAGGUGGUGUUCGCGGCCAGUCGUGGGUCCUUCCAAGGCCUUUAGUGCUAUCCGCUGAGCGAGGUACACCAUGAACGCUACGGCGAGGAGGAGUCAGGACGCCAGGGAAUGUGGGGGGAGAUGUCAUCCUCCCCCACGGCCGAAGAAUAUUCGCUUUCGGACAGGGGCCAUCAGCCACAGUGAUUUGAAGACAAAGAUGGAAUCCAGAUUUGUGAUGAAGACAGCGGAUUCUGCUAUUGUCA